AUUGAACGCUGGCGGCAUGCUUUACACAUGCAAGUCGAACGGUAACAGGCCGCAAGGUGCUGACGAGUGGCGAACGGGUGAGUAAUGCAUCGGAACGUGCCCAGUCGUGGGGGAUAACGCAGCGAAAGCUGUGCUAAUACCGCAUACGAUCUAUGGAUGAAAGCGGGGGACCGUAAGGCCUCGCGCGAUUGGAGCGGCCGAUGUCAGAUUAGGUAGUUGGUGGGGUAAAGGCCUACCAAGCCGACGAUCUGUAGCUGGUCUGAGAGGACGACCAGCCACACUGGGACUGAGACACGGCCCAGACUCCUACGGGAGGCAGCAGUGGGGAAUUUUGGACAAUGGGGGAAACCCUGAUCCAGCAAUGCCGCGUGCAGGAAGAAGGCCUUCGGGUUGUAAACUGCUUUUGUACGGAACGAAACGGUCUGGGUUAAUACCCUGGGCUAAUGACGGUACCGUAAGAAUAAGCACCGGCUAACUACGUGCCAGCCGCCGCGGUAAAAC
rnacentral:rRNA from 1 species